rnacentral:rRNA from 1 species
UUGGUGGCCUCUAGGGGCACGCGCAUGCUUCACUAGUCUUUCAACCACCUGCGAACUUUAGAUAGAUGAGUGAAGUCGUCUAGUAAGUCGUCAGACUUGGUUUGGUGGGAAUUAAGCGUCUCGGUGAGACAACUCAGUCUAUUUACUUCACACCCCCCAAAUGUAUGUCUAUGAAUGUCAUUUAAUGGGCCUUGUGCCUAUAAUAAAUAAUACAUCUUUCAACAAUGGAUCUCUUGGCUCUUGCAUGGAGGAAGAACGCAACGAAAUUCGAUAAGUAAAAUGAAUGGCAGAAUUCAGUGAAUCAUUGAAUCUUUGCACGCUGCUUGCGCUGGUUGUUAUAGGGAGGGGCAUGCCUGUGUGAGUGUCAAUUAAUUCUCAAACUCACUUUGGUUUUUUCCAAUUGUGAUGUUUGGAUUGUUGGGGGCUGCUGGCCUUGACAGGUCGGCUCCUCUUAAAUGCAUUAGCAGGACUUCUCAUUGCCUCUGCGCAUGAUGUGAUAAUUAUCACUCAUCAAUAGCACGCAUGAAUAGAGUCCAGCUCUCUAAUGGUCCGCCGCAAGGACAGAUUAGACAGAAUGUCAAUAAACGGAGAGCACC